UUAAAUGCAUUGAAAAGAAGAGUAGUAAAAUAAACAUUCUAUAAGAGAGCUGAUAAUUGCUGAAAGUCAGUGUUUGCGAGUUUUAUGAAGAUGGUCUUAGAGUAUAUUUUCUGAGCUGGUAAGAUAUCAGUUAGGAGAGUACGGAAGCAGCCGUUAUACUGCAGGGUGAUGAUAGUCACCUAGUGAGUUAUUUAUUGUGAAGUAAAUAAGAAAUAGAGUGGUAACACGUAUAAUACGUCUCUAUA
rnacentral:ncRNA from 1 species